CUACGGGAGGCAGCAGUGGGGAAUAUUGCGCAAUGGGGGAACCCUGACGCAGCGACGCCGCGUGAGCGAUGAAGGCCUUCGGGUUGUAAAGCUCUGUCUUCCCUGACGAUAAUGACGGUAAGGGAGGAGGAAGCCACGGCUAACUACGUGCCAGCAGCCGCGGUAAU
rnacentral:rRNA from 1 species